UCCGUUGGUCAAGGGGUUAAGACACCGCCUUUUCACGGCGGUAACACGGGUUCGAAUCCCGUACGGACUA
rnacentral:tRNA from 10 species